AAGACUGCUUUCAAGAAUCAUUUCUAUAGUUCUCUUGCUACAGAAGUAUGUCUCAGACUGACUGGUCUGACUACCCACAGUGAAGAGUGCUAUGCUCUGCACAGAAGGCCAACCAGACAGCAGUACUGCUUUGGGGACACAGCUGUUCUCUGUUGUUGAUGAUUGCUUCUCUUUUCCUUUGGGAAAAGCUGCAAGAAGAGAGCACAGUCUGAGUGGU